CUGAAAUGGGAGAUUUUGUGGUGCUAGUGGAGAGUUUUGUGAAUGGAGCAAAACUGUGAGAGGCUUAGGAUAACAAUACAGAAAUGUCCCUGGAUAAUCCACAUACACUUCACUGUUUUCAUCGAAACUACUUUCUACUACUAAGAAAACAGCUGACACCAAGCUCCGUGGCAGGUUCGAUUCCACCAGUGGAAAGGAUCAGAGUACUUCCUCACCCCUUGUUAACUCGCUGCAUGUCUGUAUUUCCCCCUGUGGAGGUGGCUGAGAAGGAAAGAGGCUCCAGCUGCAGCAGCAAAAGCUGGGAGUGAGCUGUUAACUCCCACACUUAUCAGGAGCUGAAAGGACCGCAAUGUUCACUUCUCAGUCAACAGAAGCAGCAUAACACUACUGAGAAACUCCCCGUGCUGAUAAUCCCUCACGGCCUGAGAACAAAUCCUGGAUGAAGCCGGCUCUAACCACAGACUGAGUGAUCCAAAGACAUCCCAGAUGCCAGCAUGAAGAACAUUGUUUGCUGUCAAACCUUGGUACUUCAGCUGUGGCAGUUCAUUGUGUCCGAAAAGAGCAAUCCACACAACCAUCUAUUUAGGCUGUUGUUCCCCUGUCCCAGCAGCGCUCCACCUCCCCUCCUUACACAUCUUCUGGGCCAGAGAUCCAGCCUCCAGCUCCUCGGCAGCCCUCUCUGCACUGCGACACUUUGUUCCCGUCCGUUGCCUGCUGCCCGCCUGCUAAUCGGGAUUGGUGGGGAGGAACGGAUCGCUGUGAGACGUGGCCGUCCUCUGGAGCCCAGAGAACCAGGCCAAGGUCACUCGCAUCACUCUUGUGCCAUCGCUUCCCACAGCAAACAGGGAAAAGGAAAGAGCGAGGGAUGCAGGAGUUAAGGAAAGAGAGAUAAGACUGGUGCCGAGCAGGGAGCAGUCGAAUGAGGUCUCGUGAAUUGAAGAGAACACAAGUCAAUAGCAACGCCAGGGUUCAUAUUAUUUCUCAAAUUAGCGAUUAGAAGGAAAGUCUUGGAAUAUUAUUGCCAUAUCACAUGCCUAUUUGCCCUUUAUGAUGAAAUAUUCAAGCAUGUCACUGUGUUUGAGUGAGAGCAAAUAGGUAACCUAUUUUCCGCUCUCUCCUUGAUCAACACUCAUCAAUAAUUCACUCUUGGCCCAUUAGUUUUGUGAGAAAGGCCGGGCUGCAACUUAAAACUCGUCAGGAAUUAAUUUUCAUGUUUAUUUUGUACAGAAAGUGUGGCACAAGGGCAACACUCACUGAGAAGUUCAGGGAAGCUUCACUUAAACUGCACAUUUAAGGCAAACAGCUUGCACUUAACCUCGAGAUAUUAUUUACAUAUAUUUCAAUCCAGUGCCACAUCAGAUUGUUGGGAGGGAACAACAGAGCCCAUUUUUACACAUUUACAACACAAAACUUACAAGACGUAUCUCCUCAGAUCUCAGUCCGGAAUUGUUAUGGUGUUCUGCCAUUCAGCGGCCCAUUUCCCCUUCGAGCUGACGAAGUGUUUUAUGGAAUAAGUUGAGAGAUGGAUGCUAAAGUGAGGGCUUCUGUCACAAAAGCACAGAGUGUUGUCAUCAACAAGGCUGUUCUUUUUUCCAGCCCAUUGCCUUUGCUGUAAUUUGCACUCUCUUGCGCUCUCCCCUCCCUCUGCCGCCAUUAUUUCAGACAAUGUUUCAGAAAUCGCAGCCGGUUUCCCAGCCAGUGUUCACACAUUUGUCAUUACAUGUCAGCAGGGCCUGGGGAUUUUGCUGCUUCACUUGGCAAAAAGCAAUUGUGUGCGUCAAGCUGAGGCUCUGUUGUGGAGGCUGACACACACCUGGAAUGAAAAGGACUUGUGGGUAAAGACACUUCUGAUGUUUUUCCUCGUAGAGGCCAGUCUAUUUUACAUAUCCCACCUGUGAGCGUGUCUCGUUUGCCUGAAUUUUAUCCGCAUGCUUGUCUCUAAGCCCUCUCAAGGCCUGAACAGCCCCUCUUCCUCCUCAAGCUCAAACCCUUACAUGCUCUGGCUCCGUGCCGAGUGCUCUGCGCUGUUUCAGAGCCCAGGUCCUGUAAUCUCCCUCUGGCUGUACACCCCGAGUUGUCACAAUGAUUUUUGAAUAUGAUUGUAUUUUACUGCUCGGAGAGAAUAUAGUGUUACAUAAUUAAGUACCACUGGAUUAGGACCAAGGAAAAGAAAUCUCACUUGACAGAACUGAAGAGUUCUGAAAGAAAAUUUCAGUUUCUGUGGCUGCUUACUAUAAUAUUGUGCUCACCAAAGUGAUCGCUGACAUAUUGGCAAUAUACAACAAUACAUGGGCAGUCAGU